GACGAACGCUGGCGGCGUGCUUAACACAUGCAAGUCGAACGGAAAGGCCCUGCUUUUGUGGGGUGCUCGAGUGGCGAACGGGUGAGUAACACGUGAGUAACCUGCCCUUGACUUUGGGAUAACUUCAGGAAACUGGGGCUAAUACCGGAUAGGAGCUCCUGCUGCAUGGUGGGGGUUGGAAAGUUUCGGCGGUUGGGGAUGGACUCGCGGCUUAUGAGCUUGUUGGUGGGGUAGUGGCUUACCAAGGCUGUGACGGGUAGCCGGCCUGAGAGGGUGACCGGCCACAUUGGGACUGAGAUACGGCCCAGACUCCUACGGGAGGCAGCAGUGGGGAAUAUUGCACAAUGGGCGGAAGCCUAAUGCAGCAACGCCGCGUGCGGGAUGACGGCCUUCGGGUUGUAAACCGCUUUCGCCUGUGACGAAGCGUGAGUGACGGUAAUGGGUAAAGAAGCACCGGCUAACUACGUG
rnacentral:rRNA from 1 species